GACGAACGCUGGCGGCGUGCUUAACACAUGCAAGUCGAACGGAAAGGCCUGCUUUCCCUUGUGGAUUGCGGGUACUCGAGUGGCGAACGGGUGAGUAACACGUGAGUGAUCUGCCCCCAACUUGGGUAUAAGCCUGGGAAACUGGGUCUAAUUCCCGAUAGGACUGCAGGGUGGUGCCUGUGGUGGAAAACGAUUUUCUAGUGGUUGGGGAUGGGCUCGCGGCCUAUCAGCUUGUUGGUGGGGUAAUGGCCUACCAAGGCGGCGACGGGUAGCCGGCCUGAGAGGGUGGACGGCCAGAUUGGGACUGCGAUACGGCCCAGACUCCGACGGGAGGCAGCAGUGGGGAAUAUUGCACAAUGGGCGGAAGCCUGAUGCAGCGACGCCGCGUGGGGGAUGACGGCCUUCGGGUGGUAAACUCCUUUCGACCGCGAGGAAGCCACCUGGUUGGAAGGGUGGUGACGGUAGUGGUAGAAGAAGCACCGGCUAACUACGUG
rnacentral:rRNA from 1 species